rnacentral:rRNA from 1 species
CGAACGCUGGCGGCGUGCUUAACACAUGCAAGUCGAGCGAUGAAGCACCUUCGGGUGUGAAUUAGCGGCGAACGGGUGAGGAACACGUGAAGAAUCUGCCUUCAACUCUGGGAUAACUCCGGGAAACCGGGGCUAAUACCGGAUAUGAGCCUUGAUCGCAUGAUCGGGGCUGGAAAGUUUUUCGGUUGAAGAUGACUUCGCGGCCUAUCAGCUUGUUGGUGAGGUAAUGGCUCACCAAGGCGACGACGGGUAGCCGGCCUGAGAGGGCGACCGGCCACACUGGGACUGAGACACGGCCCAGACUCCUACGGGAGGCAGCAGUGGGGAAUAUUGGGCAAUGGAGGAAACUCUGACCCAGCGACGCCGCGUGAGGGAUGAAGGCCUUCGGGUUGUAAACCGUCUUUCAGUAGGAAGAAGCGAAAGUGACGGUACCGUACAGAAGAAGCACCGGCUAACUAUGUGCCAGCAG